GGACGAAGGAGUGCGUACAAGCAGGAUAGAGUCGCAGAUUUUCACAGAGCAAGGAGAGAGGGAGCAUGGAGUGGGGAGGAGAGCGUCAGACAGCACGAGCGGAAGAGAAAACUGGGCAAAGGAGAUGGGGGCAAGGGGUUGGCUGGGGAGUACCGAGGAAGAGAGGGGCAGGGCCUGGGGAGGGGAAAGGAGAGACUGUAAUUCAUUUCACUUCAUCUCUGUUCAUUUUGGAGAAAUAGAGCAGAAACUGCAGACCAGGGAAGGAGGAAACAGGGCAUGAAAUUGCACUGCGCCUUGUAAUAGCUCUGCCAGCCGGCGGCCGGGGGCUAAUAACCCACUGGGUCAGCCCCGACCCGCCCAGGCACUGUGUCGGGGGCACCCCAACGCCCGCACUGCCUGGCUGGGCACUGGAACAGGAGUGUGUGGUGAAGGGUGGCCGAGGCUGCCCAGUUCCUGCCUAGGAAGCUUCAAGUUCAUCCACCGCCUGUGCCCUGAGUGCCCACAGGAUGCUCCAAGGAGCUGAGGAAGAGACUUUGAGGAGACGUCAGAGAAAAUCUCUGUUAACUUUUCUCCAUCUCAGCUCAACCCCGGUGCUCCUUCGCCUAGCGGGCCGUGUUGGCUUUGGAAUAAAUCACAUCAACCUAAAUAGCAAGUGCUGCCAUAUCUCGAGGGCUUAUUAUAUUCCAGACACUGGAUCAAGCCUUUGAUGUGCGUUAGCCCAAGGUGCCACCAACUCCUCACAACAACCCCAUAUACUCAUCACCCUCAUUUGAAGAACCCCGGCCAUCUGCUCCAGAGCUGAUCCUCUUCACCUGGGCAGGUGGGUGGGCGAGCUGGUUCAUGUAGGUGAGGUGGAUUGAUGGAUUGAGUGAUGGGUUGGGGGUUGGGUGAUGGUAGGUUGGCUUGGAUGGGUGGGUUGGUGUGGUGGGUUGGGUGGGGUAUGGAAAGGUGGUAGGUGAUGGGUUGGGCGAUGGUUUGGUGGGUUGGAUGGGUGGCCUAGGGCUGGACAGU
rnacentral:lncRNA from 1 species